AGCAUCUUCCCUGGGGGCGGAGCUUGUUUUCCUCAGCACUGAGCGGGCGGCGCCAUGGAGGCCCCAGGACAGCGCUGCCUGCGUGUCCGCGGGAGGAGGACGCUCCCCGCCCGCUGUCUGAAGUUACUCCGGUUUCCCACUGCCUGCGCCCGCUUCCUGCCGGGGUGUGUGUGGACCUGACCGAGCUAGGGCCCCGGCCGGCUGGGCAGGAGGGGAUGGGUGUGCUGGCGUGCCCGCUUCGACUAUUCUCGCCCGCCGGGAGCGGAUUGAAUCUGACUGAGACAUAACUUCGAUGAGAUCACACUGCUAUUAAACCUGCCCCAGAUACAUAUGCACUGGCUUGAGGACCAGCAUAUUGAAGGAACUUGAAAAUGGAAGACCACCUCCACCCUACUGCCCUCUUCAACAGAAAAGCAAUCGGGACUGGUUCCUGACAUUGUGCCCUGUGGAGCUGUCAUUACAGCUUAAUCACUCCACUCACCAGAGAACUCGACAUAUCACAUCACACGUCUUAAGACUAUUUAGGAUGAUGGCACACAUUCCAAGCCAACUUUAUGAUUUCCUUUUUGGUGAUAUCCUCCUGUUGAAAAGUAAAAUGUCCUCUCAAAGGUUGUUUUCUGACGUUGGUUAUUUUAAGUGUCCCCUAUCAGAUUGCCAUUCUCCCCUCUCUUUUCUCAUGUUCUCCUCUGAAUGGAUAUCCAUCCCUUUGUCAUCAUUUUGUCUAGUUUUCUGAUAUCCUAACCAUUCUCUUAAUUUCCAGUUCCACCUCCUGUAUACAAGGAACAUUAUUCUGGAAGACACUUCCCUGAAACCUGAGUUUCAACAGAAACUUGGGGGCAAGGAUUCUGCCCAUACAGUGAGAACAAGCAAUUAUAACCUUAAGAGAGUAUGGGAAUUCUGAUGUCACUACUCCAUGAUUCUUUAUUUUCAGUCAAUAAAUAACAUGUACCUCUGAUGAUGGCUGUAUGGUCAGGCAACUCAAGAUGGCUUCUCUCUAUACAUCUCCUGCUUGACUGGUGCCUGCUUCACCUACACACAACUCAUAAGACUGAUCUUCCUUCAUAUUCACCCCAGGCCCCAGCUAAUGACUGUUCUAGAUUUAGAUCAGAACUCACCACUAUGCUUAUCCAAGGGGUGGUGAGAGGCAUGACCCUGUGCUGAUUACCCUCGUAACCAAUGAGCCAACCUGACAUCAACUCCCCUAUGACUGGUAACCUAUUCUUCCCCACCAGGAGCAAAGACUGCCAUCAUGUCCUGCCCUCCAGCUCCCACACAUGGCAGGAUGUUGCUCCAGGACUUUGCUUCAGAUGUGUAAGAUCACCCUAAUCAUUAAACUAUUGAUUAUCUCUGUUGCUGACUCUGGGAUCUUUCUCAGGUCUUGAAGCUGGGCAAGUACAGGGCUUGUAGACCUGCAGAGUGCAGUCCAGUGCUGACAUAGCUAAUUAAUACCCUCACAUAAAACACUUCGUUUAUAUAAACAUAAUGUAACUAGUAGCCAAAUUGGGUUCAAAAGAAUGGAAAUACAUGGAGAUCAGAAGCAACCUUAGCUCUAGGGUCCUCAGAAAGCCCAGAUUCAGUGGGAUAUCAUGGUACAGCACAAGGUUUGU